rnacentral:lncRNA from 1 species
GUUUGCGCUAAAAUACAUCAAUGUGUGUGAAAUUCGUUGUCAUUGCUUUUGUUUUGAACAUCAUAUUCGUGCCUGCCGGUGGAAAAAUUAGAGCGACAUAUUAGUGCAUUGGCUCGGUGAAAUAAAUGAAGGUCUACUGGAGGCAAAUUAAAAUAUCUCCCUCAGCAAAAAUGAGACUCUCGCUCAUGAUGAAAGCAUGUUAAUAGUUUAUUCUUUGAAACAUCACCGACAUAGUCAUAUUCUAAAGCAUCAUCAACGCCAUCACCAAAUUCAAUGCCAUCAACACCAUCAGCGGCUA